GGAAAAGAAACCUACAGGGAUUGCCCCAGUAACGGCGAGUGAAGCGGCAACAGCUCAAAUUUGAAAUCUGGCCCCAGGCCCGAGUUGUAAUUUGCAGAGGAUGCUUUUGGCGCGGUGCCUUCCGAGGUUCCCUGGAACGGGACGCCAUAGAGGGUGAGAGCCCCGUACGGUUGGACACCAAGCCUUUGUAAAGCUCCUUCGACGAGUCGAGUAGUUUGGGAAUGCUGCUCUAAAUGGGAGGUACAUUUCUUCUAAAGCUAAAUAUUGGCCAGAGACCGAUAGCGCACAAGUAGAGUGAUCGAAAGAUGAAAAGCACUUUGAAAAGAGGGUUAAACAGCACGUGAAAUUGUUAAAAGGGAAGCGCUUGUGACCAGACUUGCGUCCGGUGAAUCACCCAGCUCUCGCGGCUGGGGCACUUCGCCGGCACAGGCCAGCAUCAGCUUGCCGUCGGGGACAAAAGCUUCAGGAACGUGGCUCCUCUCGGGGAGUGUUAUAGCCUGUUGCAUAAUACCCUUCGGCGGGCUGAGGUACGCGCUCCGCAAGGAUGCUGGCGUAAUGGUCAUCAGCGACCCGUCUUGAAACACGGACCAAGGAGUCAACCUUAUGUGCGAGUGUUUGGGUGUCAAACCCCUACGCGUAAUGAAAGUGAACGCAGGUGAGAGCUUCGGCGCAUCAUCGACCGAUCCUGAUGUUCUCGGAUGGAUUUGAGUAAGAGCAUAUAGGGUUGGACCCGAAAGAAGGUGAACUAUGCGUGUGUAGGGUGAAGCCAGAGGAAACUCUGGUGGAGGCUCGCAGCGGUUCUGACGUGCAAAUCGAUCGUCAAACAUGCGCAUGGGGGCGAAAGACUAAUCGAACCUUCUAGUAGCUGGUUU
rnacentral:rRNA from 1 species